rnacentral:rRNA from 1 species
CCUACGGGCGGCAGCAGUGGGGAAUAUUGCACAAUGGGCGCAAGCCUGAUGCAGCGACGCCGCGUGAGGGAUGACGGCCUUCGGGUUGUAAACCUCUGUUAGCAGGGAAGAAGAGAGAUUGACGGUACCUGCAGAGAAAGCGCCGGCUAACUACGUGCCAGCAGCCGCGGUAAUACGUAGGGCGCGAGCGUUGUCCGGAAUUAUUGGGCGUAAAGAGCUUGUAGGCGGUUUGUCGCGUCUGCUGUGAAAGGCCGGGGCUUAACUCCGUGUAUUGCAGUGGGUACGGGCAGACUAGAGUGCAGUAGGGGAGACUGGAAUUCCUGGUGUAGCGGUGGAAUGCGCAGAUAUCAGGAGGAACACCGAUGGCGAAGGCAGGUCUCUGGGCUGUAACUGACGCUGAGAAGCGAAAGCAUGGGGAGCGAACAGGAUUAGAUACCCGAGUAGUC